CUUCUCUCCCAGCCUCACCUGUUUCACCAGAGCUUUCCAUCCAAAGGGCUUGGAGUGAACUAUCAGUUAAGGUCAUGGAUGGCCUUACUGAUUACUGCAUUAGACUGCAGUAGAUUACUGCAUUAGACUGCAUUAGAUCAAGGUUACUGCAUUAGACUCCAUUUAACUGCUUUUUCCAGAAGACGUGUUGCAUGACAUUCCAAGAUUUAAGAACACUUAGGAGUAGACAUCUAUUUACAUUUGCAAAGAAAUGGCAAGGUGUCACAACCUACUCAGGUAGGGAAAAACAGUGGGCACUCGUGUCAAAUUACAAAUAAAUAGCAUUUUCUUUGUCUAAAAAAAUGUAGUGAGCUGAAUGGAGUUUAGACUCUGGCAGGAAUCCUACACUGAAAGUAGGAGACUGGGCAGAGGAAGCAUAGGGUACAGUGUACUAAAAGAUCCUGGCACAAGGGAGGAAAAAUGAACCCUUUGGUC
rnacentral:lncRNA from 1 species